GGUUUGGUGGUCUAGUAGUAUGAUUCACCCUUAGGGACACAGGACUCCUGUUGUGACUUGGGUGAGGUCCCGGGUUCAAUUCCCGGCCAGACCC